UUGUACCAGCUUUCCUCAUCAGGACACAGCAUACACGAGGGCCUGUUCCCAGCUUUGGGGAGGGGACGGAGUGGGGGUGACGUCAGGGUGUCUCAAUGGGGCUCUGUUCCCCAGGCCUUGGAGCCAGGAGCCAGGCACCGGCAAGGAGACCAUGUGUGUGUUGUAUACGGGUCCACGUGCUUAAAUCACGGAAACACCAGCUCUGCAGCAAGAAAGCUUGAGAGUACAGGACCUCUCCGGCACGGGGGUCCAGUGAGGCAGACCUCGAUGGCGCCAGAGCCGGGAAGAAAACAGGAAGUGGGAAACAGCCACGGCGGAGUCGAGAAGCGCCGGGAUGGAGGAUCGGAUGGAGGGGCGCGCGGGGGCCGGCAGUCGGAGAGACAGACCGACCUGGAGGCCGUUCUGGUCCCCCGCCUUCCCCUGAGAAGCUACACGCGACCAGGACCCCAGGCAGGGUUGCACUGGCCCUACAGGUCCCGUCAAGCCAAGGCCCGUAACGCAGAGGGAAGACAAGGCGGGGUUGUCUGGGCGCCUCGGUCCCCUCCCCGGGCGAGGCGAGGCUCCGGCUGCCCCCAGGGCCCGGCAGCCCGUGAGCCAGUGGGAGUCGGGGAGUAAGUGGGACGCACGUGACUGACCCUACGGCACAGCGCACCCCUGCCCCACCCCCGCCCCCUCCUCGGCCCCAAUCCCCUGGCGCCGGAGCCCCACUCCGAGCCCUUUAAGAGCCGCCCCCACCCGCCGAGCAGGGAGGUGGGGUGGGUGGGCCGGUCAGGGCACACACCCGCACAUAGGAGCCCGAGCCGCGGCCGCCGCCGGGGGAAGGAAACAAGUUUGAACAGCGGCGCCCGGCCCCCUUCCCCCCCUCCCUCGUCCCCGCCCCAGGCCGGAUUCCGACGGGGCAGACGGGCAGGGGGCGGCGAGGCCCCCUCCACCGCCGCCACCACCACCCCCCCGCACGCCCGGGCGCAAAGUCCAGCCUGUGCAAGCCCGGGGGCGGCGGGGGAGGGGAUGGGGGAAAAGUCCGAGUGGGAGGGGGGU